rnacentral:lncRNA from 1 species
UGAUUGAAGAUACAAGAAUAGAUUUAAGAUUUAUAUCACCAUAUUCUUCCAAGAGGCUUAGAAAAAAUUAUACCUGUUAACUAACUUCCUUCGAAUCAAGACUCAGUG